ensembl:lncRNA LINC03048 long intergenic non-protein coding RNA 3048
GGCCUCAGUUAACUCUUAAAUGGGUGUCAGAGGCACUGUCUUCCCCUAGCUAUGCGCCUCGUGCCUGGGAGCCUUAGGGCCACACGGAAGGGUAGAAAUCAGUUUCAGGUCAGGAGAGAUUCCUGCUCCCAGCCCAGGCCCAGACGGCAACAGAAGCUCAUGGAAUGGCAGACUCUGGACAUGCUCCUAGAGAUGGGAGGUCAAAAUGAUCAACGUUCAGGGUCCCUUCAUCUCAGAGGGUCUCGAGUCACCUCAUUUAAAGUGUGGCCUGGGACACCUCCUAUCCAGCCAUACGCCGCCCAGGACUGGCUCAACAGCUCCACCCUCCACUGCUGUUCACCCAUGACACGUCACUUCCCACCCGCCACUGCUGGCUCACCUGUGACACCCCAGGCAGCUCAGAUGCCCGGCAGGUCCUGCUGGUGUGUGUUAGCCGGGGUCUCCAAAGAACCAGAGCCAGCAGGGGACACACCCAUCUCUGUAUCUGGAGAAAAAGAUCGAUGAGAAGGAAUCUGCUCCUGUGAUGAUGGAGGCUGACAAGUCCCGAGAGCCACGGUUGGCACCCUGGAGACCCCUGAGGGUGAUACCACCACUCCAGGCUGAAAGCUGGCAGGCUUGAGACCCUGGGAGAGCUGGCCCUCUGACUCCUGGGACUUCUUAUUCUAUCCUAGUAUUUCCUCAGCUGAGUGCAUGGGGCCAGACCACACUGGGGAGGGCAGUCAGCGUCACUCAGAGCACCGGGUCAUCUCAUGCAGAAACACCCUCAAAGAAAUAGCCCAAAUUAUGCUGACCAAAUAUCUGGGCACCCCGUGCCCCAGACAAGUUGACACAGAAAAUUAACCAUCACAGGUUAACUCCAUCCAGGAGUGGAAUUGCUGGGUCAUAGAGAAGGCAUAGGAAUUCACAGAAAUCACCAAACGGUUUUCAGGCGGUUGUGCCAUGUUAAACUCCCACUGGAAAGAGAGGAGAGCUGUGAUUGUUCCACGUCCUCAGCAACGUUUAGAAUAGGCAGUCUUUGGCCGGGCCGGGCACAGAGGCUCAAACCUGUAACCCCAGCACUUUGGGAGGCCAUAGUGGGUGGAUUACCUGAGAUCAAGAGUUCAAGACCAGCCUGGCCAACAUGGUUAAACCCCGUCUCUAUUAAAAAUGCAAAAAUUAGCCAGGCGUGGUGGUGCGUGCCUGUAAUUCCAGCUACUUGGGGGCUGAGGCAGGAGAAUCGUUUGAACCCAGGAGGCAGAGUUUGCAGCGAGCCGAGAUCGCGCCACUGCACUCCAGCCUGGGCAACAGAAUGAGACUCUGUCUCCAAAAAAAGAAAAAAUAAAUAAAGAAAAGUCAUUCUG